rnacentral:tRNA from 1 species
GCCCGAGGGGUGAAAUUGGUAGACGCAGGGGACUCAAAAUCCCCCGCCGCAAGGCGUGCCGGUUCGAUUCCGGCCUCGGGCCCCA